AGUGGGAUAGCUGGGUCAAUUGGUAGUUCAAUUACAAGUUUUCUAAGGAAUUUCCAGAAAUGGUUUCACCAAUUUGCAUUCCCACCAGCAAU
rnacentral:pre_miRNA from 1 species